rnacentral:rRNA from 1 species
AGAACUUAGCAGAGAUGCUUUGGUGCCUUCGGGAACUCUGAGACAGGUGCUGCAUGGCUGUCGUCAGCUCGUGUUGUGAAAUGUUGGGUUAAGUCCCGCAACGAGCGCAACCCUUAUCCUUUGUUGCCAGCGGCUCGGCCGGGAACUCAAAGGAGACUGCCGGUGAUAAACCGGAGGAAGGUGGGGAUGACGUCAAGUCAUCAUGGCCCUUACGGCCAGGGCUACACACGUGCUACAAUGGCGCAUACAAAGAGAAGCGACCUCGCGAGAGCAAGCGGACCUCAUAAAGUGCGUCGUAGUCCGGAUUGGAGUCUGCAGCUCGACUCCAUGAAGUCGGAAUCGCUAGUAAUCGUAGAUCAGAAUGCUACGGUGAAUACGUUCCCGGGCCUUGUACACACCGCCCGUCACACCAUGGGAGUGGGUUGCAAAAGAAGUAGGUAGCUUAACCUUCGGGAGGGCGCUUACCACUUUGUGAUUCAUGACUGGGGUGAAGUCGUAACAAGGUAGGCGUAGCGAG